rnacentral:rRNA from 1 species
GUAGGUGGCAAGCGUUGUCAGGAAUUAUUGGGCGUAAAGCGCGCGCAGGCGGUUCGUUUAAGUCUGAUGUGAAAGCCCACGGGCUCAACCGUGGAGGGUCAUUGGAAACUGGAGAACUUGAGUACAGAAGAGGAAAGCGGAAUUCCACGUGUAGCGGUGAAAUGCGUAGAGAUGUGGAGGAACACCAGUGGCGAAGGCGGCUUUCUGGUCUGUAACUGACGCUGAGGCGCGAAAGCGUGGGGAGCAAACAGGAUUAGAUACCCUGGUAGUCCACGCCGUAAACGAUGAGUGCUAAGUGUUAGGGGGUUUCCGCCCCUUAGUGCUGCAGCUAACGCAUUAAGCACUCCGCCUGGGGAGUACGGCCGCAAAGGCUG